rnacentral:rRNA from 1 species
UACGAAGGGUGCAAGCGUUACUCGGAAUUACUGGGCGUAAAGCGUGCGUAGGCGGUUCGUUAAGUCUGAUGUGAAAGCCCUGGGCUCAACCUGGGAAUGGCAUUGGAUACUGGCGACCUAGAGUGCGGUAGAGGGUAGCGGAAUUCCCGGUGUAGCAGUGAAAUGCGUAGAUAUCGGGAGGAACAUCCGUGGCGAAGGCGGCUACCUGGGCAAUUCCUGACGCUGAGGCGCGAAAGCGUGGGGAGCAAACGGG